rnacentral:rRNA from 1 species
GACGAACGCUGGCGGCGUGCUUAACACAUGCAAGUCGAACGGAAAGGCCCUGCUUUUGUUGGUUUCUCGAUUGGCGAACGGGUGUGUAACACGUGAGUAACCUGCCCUUGUCUUUGGGAUAACUUCAGGGAACUGGGGCUAUUACCCGAUAGGAUCUCCUGCUGCAUGGUGUGGGUUGGAAAGUUUCGGCGGUUGUGGAUUGACUCGCGGCUUAUCAGCUUGUUGGUGGGGUAGUGGCUUACCAAGGCUUUGACGGGUAGCCGGCCUGAGAGCGUUACCGGCGACAUUGGGACUGAGAGACGGAGCAGACGCGUACGGGACGCAGCAGGGGGGAAUAUGGCACAAUAGGCGGAAGCCUGAGGCAGCAACGCCGCGUGCGGGAUGACGGCUUACGGGUUGUAAACCGCUUUCGCAGGUGACGAAGAGGGAGUGACGGUAAUGGGUAAAGAAGCAACGGCUAACUACGUG